rnacentral:rRNA from 1 species
UACGUAGGGUGCAAGCGUUGUCCGGAAUUAUUGGGCGUAAAGAGCUCGUAGGCGGUUUGUCGCGUCGGCUGUGAAAACCUGGGGCUCAACCCCGGGCCUGCAGCCGAUACGGGCAAACUAGAAUUCGGUAGGGGAGACUGGAAUUCCUGGUGUAGCGGUGAAAUGCGCAGAUAUCAGGAAGAACACCCGUGGCUAAGGCGGUUCUCUAGUACGGUACUGACGCUGAGACGCGAAAGCGUGGGGAGCGAACAGG